rnacentral:rRNA from 1 species
UACAGAGGUCUCAAGCGUUGUUCGGAUUCAUUGGGCGUAAAGGGUGCGUAGGCGGCUUGGCAAGUCGGGUGUGAAACCUCCAGGCUCAACUUGGAGACGCCACCCGAUACUGCUCUGACUUGAGUUCGGUAGGGGAGUGGGGAAUUCCUGGUGUAGCGGUGAAAUGCGCAGAUAUCAGGAGGAACACCGGUGGCGAAGGCGCCACUCUGGGCCGAAACUGACGCUGAGGAGCGAAAGCGUGGGUAGCAAACAGG